AUAUGGAGUUUGUUUGGCUCUACUCCCUUUGCCAGUGCACUUUGUCGGUUUGUGUGAUCGUAGUCAGCGUGAGGUUGUGCAUGGUGGUCAGCGGCAGCAGGCCUGUGACGGACGCCCGAGGUGGAACUCAGAGUGCCAAGAUCCAACUUGGGAACAUCUCGUGCUGCCUGCGGUUGUGCCUGGGCUAUGUGGGGGCUGUAGGUGGAGCGCUGGGAGUCCCAGUGGCUGUGUUGCUCAACCUGCGAACACCCCAGUGUCUCUACACCUGCAUAACCCUUGUAUGUUGCCCCUUGCUGAUCAGACAGUUUACCAUGUUCCUGUUAAUGAUACUGACGCUGGACACACACCUGCAGCACCACUUGGCCGACAGGUACUCUGCAGUGGUGACCCGGAGAAGAGCCCUGUGUGUGGUCUUGUUGUGCUGGGUGGGCUCGGUUCUGUCCUCCUUUGCACAGUUCAUUGGCACAGAUGUCCUCAGCACCUGGAAGAAUGGAGGUACUGGUCCAGGCACAUCUGGCCAUGAGAUAGAUGGCAACUGGACAACCUCUCUACCCCGUCUCACCUCUGCUCCAAUCCCCAAGUACCGACAAGAUCGCAAGGUCAUUGGGAAGAACCUUCCGUAUGGAGGCUUUUUGUCAAAGUUCUACGUGGAGGACAUGCGAAACUUCACCUACGCAGAGAUCCACAGCAGCCACUGGGGCGUAUGCGCAACAGACACAAUUCUCAGUCCCCAGUUUCUUGUCUACGUGCACGGGAUUACGGUGGUUUUUCUGCCUCUGCUUUUCUUACUGGUCGUUUUCUUCGAUCUGCUGUGCUGGUCCGCUUCGUAGCCCUGUCCAUCUCUCUUUUAGUUCUGCUUUGCCUGCCACUUUACAUCAUUGAGGCUCUUUUGCUUUUCACCCCUGAAACUCAUUUACCUGCUUGGGCUCACGCCGUGGCCAUGUUCCUCUUUCAGCUGUACAGUCUUGUGCCCCAGAUCCUCUUUACGCCUCCAAGGAAACGAGUGGGAGAAGAACGGGCAUCCUUCCCUCUUGCUGUUUCCAACUUCAAAGUGGCAGUAGCCCAUGCCGGAGGAAAAUCUGUCCGCCUGGCACUGCGUGAGGCGGUGCAGUCAGCUCCGUGGUCCUCGGCCAAACACUCUCUUAAAGCCAAAGUGUGCCCAGAGGUCUAAAUUUCUUUGUAAGGUAAACAAUGUGCAUUUUAUUCUUUCAAAAUUUGCACAUUUUCAAACAUUCAGAAUGAAUAAAUAAUCAGAGGACAAAUCUUUGUGCAUACAUUCAAAUGUAAAUGACUAGUUGACUGGAAAAUUACAGAAACAUCCUUGGUUUUUUUCGGGUUUCAUAUCCAAUCAGCAACACCGUGUGAUGGUUUGUUUACUUGCAAAUGAAACGUUCAGCCAAUUAUUAGAGCUCCUAGCAAAUGUCAGAGAGAAGAUGAAGUCUCUAGAUGGUGACGAUAUCUUGAUCAAAGAUGUCUGCUUUCAUUGACCGCUCUUCCUAUGGGUUUUCUGCUGAGCUUCUUUUAAAUCUCCACUAAGCUAACCGGCAGCAACGUAGAUGCAUGUGUGACAUGGUUUAAUUAAACAUCCAUUAAUAACACAGUCCAGAGAGAAUCCGCCUUUGCAAAGGAAGCAUAAUUAACCUGGUUGUGACACGAUCUUUAUGGCUGUUUUGACUUUACGUGUGAAUGCAACGUGACGCUCUGCUGAAAUUAAAAAACGAGUCUUGCUCACAAUAAUUGGAUUCUUCAUCUUGGACCAUGUUGGUGUUAAGAAAUCACUGAGGGAGAGAAAUGGAUAAAUUUCCUUCUGCAAAGAACAAGAGCAUGAAAGUCAAUAUGUCUUUUGUGUUUCCACUAUUAUAGACUCUCAAACUUUAGAAGACUU
rnacentral:lncRNA from 1 species